UGGAGUUUGUGGCGAAAUGCUAGACUUGCUAGAUUGUGGAUCUAGUAGCCGUUGAAUGUGCGGGUUCAAGUCCUGUCAUUCCGACCA
rnacentral:tRNA from 6 species